CUUAAAUACCCCUAAAUAUCUAAUUACAAGUCCCCUUUCAGUAAAUGUCCCUAUAUUCUUUGCAAGACAUAUAACUGCUUCACAGAAAGCAAAUUACUCGUAGCCCUAUUCUUCUCGUCUUGUUCAUCUCUUAACUUGUGGAGUUGUGGUUGUGAUCGUUUUUGAAGUUUGGUUGUGGACCCUUGAUGACCGUUGGACAUUCUUAGCGUGAUGUUAACUUGUUGUAGCCGCUUAAGCAUGUGGCAACGAUGUUUACAACGAUGGAACAACGUCCAAAUUACAUACCAUAUAUGUGGCAAACAUCAUGAUGUUUAACUUUAAAACCUCUUUGAAGGAACGUCUAAUGAGAUCGACAUACCCGAGAUGAGAUUGGUGCUUUAAUACGGGAUACACGCCGUUGAUAAUCUUGAUAGCAUUUUAUAUUUGCAUUUGCUUUUCAGUGUUUUUUUCAUCCUUUUUACAUAUAUAUGGUGAUAUUUCUAUCGUUAUAAAU